UACAGAGGUCUCAAGCGUUGUUCGGAUUCAUUGGGCGUAAAGGGUGCGUAGGUGGCGCUGUAAGUCGGGUGUGAAAUUUCGGAGCUUAACUCCGAAACUGCAUUCGAUACUGCGGUGCUUGAGGACUGGAGAGGAGACUGGAAUUCAUGGUGUAGCAGUGAAAUGCGUAGAGAUCAUGAAGAAGACCAGUGGCGAAGGCGGGUCUCUGGACAGUUCCUGACACUGAGGCACGAAGGCCAGGGGAGCAAACGGG
rnacentral:rRNA from 1 species